rfam:Clostridium estertheticum subsp. estertheticum strain DSM 8809, complete genome.
AAGAACUGAUGGCAUUGAAAAGUCAAAUGAAGGUGUAACGCCUUGAAGGGCUUUCUCUGAUACUCCGAUAUGUGUCUUAUUUAUUAAGAAAUGAGAGAUAUAAAGCUCGGUGAAGUCGAUUGAGAAUACACCCUAAUGCUGUGCAUAUGCAGAGUAAAUGAACAGCGAAGCAGAGGUGGUUGUGUGUACGAUAGAUCGGGAGUCCAUAAA